ACCCGCGGCCGAGGACCACCCGCCCCGUGCGGAGGCAGCGACCGCCAGAGCUGCCGGUGCUUUGCUGUGAGGCACCGACACACACGACAGGAAACUGACAGUAUUUUAAAACUUACAGGAUUUGCCGACUGUCGCGUUCUGUUUGAACAGGCAACUGUCUCACGCUAAGUGAAACCUGGUGUCACCAAUUUCCACUCACAAAAUGGAGCUACAGAAUCCUGCAUUCUGAAGACUGAAGAAACAAAGCAGUGAGGAAGCAACCAACAUAAUUCUUAUAAAAAGAGGACUUAGAAAAUUCCCACUUACAAAAGGACGUAGAGAUGCUUCACCAGUAUGUCCACACAGGACCAACUCUCCACAGUCAGGGACAGUGCCUAAAUGAAGGGACAGUGACAGACUCAGCUUCACUGAAGUGAUGUCUUUUAGUGAGAUCUUGAUCCACCUCUUAUUCUCCACAAAAGGGUUGGAUUUUCUGAUAUAAAAAUGCCAAUUAAGGAAGAAAAUUUAAAAUAUCAAUUAUUUAUUGCAUUUAUUGGAUAUUUAUCAAUUAACUAAACAUCUUUUGUAAAUUUCUAAGUCAACUAGGACUGUAGCAACAGACUUGACAGUUACUAUAGCAUCAGCAAUUAUUUUUCUUUUUAAAGACUUGUUUUUAACAAGAAUAUGUUUGCUAACU